UACGGUCGCACCACAUUGAAACACCGCUUCCCGUAGGAUCACUGAAGUGAAGCAAAGUCGAGCCUGGUCAUUACCUAGAUGACUGGCCACUUGGGAAUACCAGGUGACGUAAG